GACGAACGCUGGCGGCGUGCUUAACACAUGCAAGUCGAACGGAAAGGCCCUGCUUUUGUGGGGUGCUCGAGUGGCGAACGGGUGAGUAACACGUGAGUAACCUGCCCUUGACUUUGGGAUAACUUCAGGAAACUGGGGCUAAUACCGGAUAGGAUCUCCUGCUGCAUGGUGGGGGUUGGAAAGUUUCGGCGGUUGGGGAUGGACUCGCGGCUUAUCAGCUGGUUGGUGGGGUAGUGGCUUACCAAGGGUUUGACGGGUAGCCGGCCUGAGAGGGUGACCGGCCACAUUGGGCCUGAGAUACGGCCCAGAAUGCUACGGGAGGCAGCGGUGGGGAAUAUUGCACAAUGGGCGGAAGCCUGAUGCAGAAACGCCGCGUGCGGGAUGACGGCCUUCGGGUUGUAAACCGCUUUCGACUGUGCCGAAGCGUGAGUGACGGUAAUGGGUAAAGAAGCACCGGCUAACUACGUG
rnacentral:rRNA from 1 species